ACUAUGGAAGAUAUUAGGGCUAAAGUAAAACUAUAAACGUCAAUAGUUUAAGAUAAUCAGACCAGGAAUUUACAAGAGACUUAUCAUCUUGGAUUAUGUAUUUUAUAAGUAAUGUUUACAGAAACUUGUUAUAUCUGGUGUAGUUUAUAUUUUGUAAAGUAGAAUACUAGAUAGCCCAUAGAAUAGUUUUACAAUCAAUAAACUGUAAGUGAAUAAACAGUUG